GGGUGGUAAUGCCGGAUGUUCCAGUUGAUCGCAUGGUCUUCUGGGAAAGCUUUCGCGGUAUGGGAUGGGGUCGCGUCCUAUCAGCUUGACGGCGGGGUAACGGCCCACCGUGGCUUCGACGGGUAGCCGGCCUGAGAGGGCGACCGGCCACAUUGGGACUGAGAUACGGCCCAGACUCCUACGGGAGGCAGCAGUGGGGAAUAUUGCACAAUGGGCGCAAGCCUGAUGCAGCGACGCCGCGUGAGGGAUGGAGGCCUUCGGGUUGUAAACCUCUUUUAUCGGGGAGCAAGCGAGAGUGAGUUUACCCGUUGAAUAAGCACCGGCUAACUACGUGCCAGCAGCCGCGGUAAU
rnacentral:rRNA from 1 species